GGUGAACGCUGGCGGCGUGCCUAAGACAUGCAAGUCGAGCGGGGCAGGUCUAUACCUGUUCAGCGGCGGACGGGUGAGUAACGCGUGGGCGACCUACUCGGCAGAGGCGGACAUCCUGGGGAAACCCAGGCUAAUCCGCCAUGUGGUCCUGUCCUGUGGGGCUGGAUGAAAGGGGGGAUAGCGCGCUUCCGGAUGGGCCCGCGCUCCAGCGGCUAGUUGGUGGGGUGAAGGCACACCCAGGCGACGACGGGUAGCCGGUCUGAGAGGAUGGGCGGCCACAGGGGCACAGAGGCACGGGGCCAACGCCUACGGGACGCAGCAGUUAGGCAUCGUCCGCAAUGGACGGAAGGCUGACGGAGCGACGCCGCAUGGAGGCGGGAGCGCUUCGGGGUGUAAACUCCUGAACUGGGGACGAAAGCGCUGUGUAGGGGGAGGACGGUACCCAGGUAAUAGCGCCGGCCAACUCCGUG
rnacentral:rRNA from 1 species